rnacentral:rRNA from 1 species
CUUGAAUAACUAUAAGAGGUCCAGCCUGCCCAGUGACUUUGUUCAACGGCCGCGGUAUCCUAACCGUGCGAAGGUAGCGUAAUCACUUGUCUUUUAAAUGGGGACUUGUAUGAAUGGCAUCACGAGGGUUAUACUGUCUCCUUUUUCUAAUCAGUGAAACUAAUCUUCCCGUGAAGAAGCGGGAAUAAACAUAUAAGACGAGAAGACCCUAUGGAGCUUUAAACUCAAUAACAAAUACUAGCCUUACCUCAACCUUCAGAGUAUUAACCUUAAUUUUAGUAUCAUGAUUAUUAGUUUUAGGUUGGGGUGACCGCGGAGUAAAAAUUAACCUCCACAUUGAACGGGACCUGUCCCUGAGCCAAGAACUACAGCUCGAAGCACCAACAAAUUGACAUUAAUUGACCCAAUAUUUUGAUCAACGAAC